UACGUAGGGUGCAAGCGUUGUCCGGAAUUAUUGGGCGUAAAGAGCUCGUAGGCGGUUUGUCGCGUCUGCUGUGAAAACCCGAGGCUCAACCUCGGGCCUGCAGUGGGUACGGGCAGACUAGAGUGGCGGUAGGGGAGAUUGGAAUUCCUGGUGUAGCGGUGGAAUGCGCAGAUAGUCAAGGAGGAACACCAAUGGCGAAGGCAGAUCUCUGGGCCGUAACUGACGCUGAGGAGCGAAAGCAUGGGGAGCGAACAGG
rnacentral:rRNA from 1 species